rnacentral:rRNA from 1 species
UAGUCAUAUGCUCGUUUCAAAGAUUAAGCCAUGCAAGUCUAAGUAUAAGUUUUCAUACGGCAACACUGCGAAUAGCUCAUUACAACAGUUAGAAUCUCCACUAUUAUCACUACCAAAUGGAUAACCAUGGUAAUUCUAGUGCUAAUACAUGCGAAACACCUGAUUUUCAGGUCGCACUCAUUAGUUGUUAGAUCCAGUUAUGGUUUAACCAUAUAUUUGAUGAUUAUAAUGAUGGAGUGGAUUGCUUUAUACGCAAUAAAUAGUACGAAUUUCUGACCUAUCAGCUUCUGUCGGUAGAGUAUUGGCCUACCGAGGCGGUAACGGGUAACGGGGAAUUAGGGUUCGAUUCCGGAGAGGGAGCCUGAGAAAUGGCUACCACAUCUAAGGAUGGCAGCAGGCGCGCAAAUUACCCAAUCCUGACACGGGGAGGUAGUGACCAGAAAUAGCAACGCAGGGCAAUGCUUUGUGAUUGUAAUGAGCGAAAGAUAAAUAUUUUUGCGAGUAUCAAUU